rnacentral:lncRNA from 1 species
UAUAGCACAGACAAAACCCCAAUAACAUUUUACUUUCCUCUCAUUUUAGUAUUUGUCAUAGGGAAGUUUAAGAAAAAUUGAUGGGAAUAUUACAAUACCUAAAAGCAUACUGACAGGCAGUGAAGACUCAUCUCAGAGCUGAAUGAAUUCAGUGUCACAGUAAAGAUUCAUUCAGUGAAGAACUAACGGUAGCCGGGAAUGUAGCUCAGCUGUUAAGAGUGCUUGCCUACCACGCAUCAAUUCCUGUUUCUGGUCCUCCGUCUUACUGAGGCCAUGUGUGGAGUUAUACGCUUGUAAUCCCCACAUUCAGGCCUUAGAGGUAAGAGGGUCGGAAGUUCAAGGUUAUCAUCAGCUAAAUUUCAAGCUCAAGGCCAGCAUGGAACAGGAGAGACUCUGCUUCAGAAAA